rnacentral:rRNA from 1 species
UCGAGAAUUUUUCUCAAUGGGCGAAAGCCUGAAGGAGCGACGCCGCGUGGGGGAUGAAUGGCUUCGGCCCGUAAACCCCUGUCAUUUGCGAUCAAACCGCAUUAUUUAAAAGAUGAUGCGCUGAUAGUAGCGGAAGAGGAAGGGACGGCUAACUCUGUGCCAGCAGCCGCGGUAAUACAGAGGUCCCAAGCGUUGUUCGGAUUCACUGGGCGUAAAGGGUGCGUAGGUGGCCGGGUAAGUCUGAUGUGAAAUCUCCAAGCUCAACUUGGAAACUGCAUCGGAUACUAUCCGGCUCGAGGAUCGGAGGGGAGACUGGAAUACUUGGUGUAGCAGUGAAAUGCGUAGAUAUCAAGUGGAACACCAGUGGCGAAGGCGAGUCUCUGGACGAUUCCUGACGCUGAGGCACGAAAGCCAGGGGAGCAAACGGG